rnacentral:lncRNA from 1 species
UGGGAUACAAUGGAUGCAAACUGGAAAUAAAGGUGAGCUCCUUUUGGUCUCACAAGCAAAAAAAAAAGAAAAAGGAAAAACAUCAUAUACUUGUAUAAUUCAAUUGAUAAAGCUAUUAUAUUUUAAGAUAAAUAUUUUUUAAAAGAAUAUUUUAGAAUUAAUAUUAUAAUUAAUUUUUAUAAGUAUAAAAUUUAUUAUUAGUAUACAUAAAAACAAAAAAAUGAAUUGUGAAUU